rnacentral:misc_RNA from 1 species
GAAAGGAGAGAAGUAGUGUGAAUUGCAGAAUUCAGUGAAUCAUCGAAUCUUUGAACGCACAUUGCGCCCCUUGGUAUUCCAUGGGGCAUGCCUGUUCGAGCGUCAUUUGUACCCUCAAGCUCUGCUUGGUGUUGGGUGUUUGUCCCGUCUCCGCGCGUGGACUCGCCCCAAAGUGAUUGGCAGCCGGCGUACUGGUCCCGGAGCGCAGCACAUGUCGCGCAAACGAGUGCCUUGGUACGGCGGCGUCCAUAAGCCCCUCUCUCACGCUCUUGACCUCGGAUCAGGUAGGGAUACCCGCUGAACUUAAGC